rnacentral:rRNA from 1 species
AAAACAUAGCCCUUGAAUAAAUCAAAGGUGCCACCUGCCCAAUGGUUUUUAAUUAAAUUAAUUUAAAAGUUAAUAAAAAAACUUAAAGGAUGCGGUAUUCUGACCGUAAUAAUGUAGCAUAAUCACUCGCCAUUUAAUUGAUGGAUAGUAUGAAUGGUAAAACGAAUAUAACACUGUCUCAAAUAGAAAUUAAUUAAAAUUAGAAUAAUAGUUAAGAUACUAUUUAAAACUGUAAGACGAGAAGACCCUAUAGAGCUUAACUAUAAACUUUUUAAAAAAAUAAAACUAGUUUUAUGAUAAAAAAGUUUGGUAGUUUAGUUGGGGCGACUACUUUUUAUAUUAAACAAAAGUAAACAAAGUUAAUUAAUUAACUUACUGUAUAAAAAAUAAAUUUAACAGUUAUGACAAUAGGUAAUAGUGACCCGUCAUUAAUAUUAAACAAAAAUGACGAUCAAUAAAUAAAAGCUACCUUAGGGAUAACAGGGUAAUCUUAUUCUAGAGAUCUUAUCGAAGAUAAGGUUUGCCACCUCG